AUUCAGGAGGAGGGGCUAUUCUGGGAGGUGAGUAGAUUUUAGGAGGAGGGGCUAUUCUGGGAGGUGUGUAGAUUCAGGAGGAGGGGCUAUUCUGGGAGGUGAGUAGAUUUUAGGAGGAGGGGCUAUCCUAGGAGGUGUGUAGAUUCAGGAGGAGGGGCUAUCCUGGGAGGUGAGUAGAUUUUAGGAGGAGGGGCUAUCCUAGGAGGUGUGUAGAUUCAGGAGGAGGGGCUGUCCUAGGAGGUGUGUAGAUUCAGGAGGAGGGGCUAUCCUGGGAGGUGAGUAGAUUUUAGGAGGAGGGGCUAUCCUAGGAGGUGUGUAGAUUCAGGAGGAGGGGCUGUCCUAGGAGGUGUGUAGAUUCAG